rnacentral:rRNA from 1 species
AUGCCCAUUGGUGUUCCAAAAGUACCUUACCGGAUUCCUGGAGAUGAAGAAGCGACUUGGGUUGACUUAUACAAUGUUAUGUAUCGAGAAAGGACAUUUUUAGGUCAAGAGAUUCGUUGCGAGAUCACGAAUCAUAUUACAGGUCUCAUGGUAUAUCUGAGUAUAGAAGAUGGAAUUAGUGAUAUUUUUUUGUUUCUAAACUCCCCGGGCGGGUGGCUAAUCUCAGGAAUGGCUAUUUUUGAUACGAUGCAAACGGUGACACCAGAUAUAUAUACAAUAUGCCUCGGAAUAGCCGCCUCCAUGGCAUCCUUCAUUCUGCUUGGAGGAGAACGAGUUCAUCCGUGA